rnacentral:rRNA from 1 species
GACGAACGCUGGCGGCGUGCUUAACACAUGCAAGUCGAACGGAAAGGCCCUGCUUUUGUUGGUUUCUCGAGUGGCGAACGGGUGAGUAACACGUGAGUAACCUCCCCUUGUCUUUGUGAUAACUUCAGGAAACUCGGGCUAAUACCGGAUAUGAGCUCCUGCUGCAUGUUGGGGGUUGGAAAGUUUCGGCGGUUGGGGAUGGACUCGCGGCUUAUCAGCUUGUUGGUGUGGUAGUGGCUUACCAAGGCUUUGACGGGUAGCCGGCCUGAGAGGGUGACCGGCCACAAUAGGACUGAGAUACGGACCAGAAUGCUACGGGAGGCAGCAGGGGGGAAUAUUGCAGAAUAGGCGGAAGCCUGAUGCAGCAACGCCGGGUGCGGGAUAACGGCCUUCGGGUUGUAAACCGAUUUCGCAUGUGACGAAGCGUGAGUGACGGUAAUGGGUAAAGAAGCAACGGCUAACUACGUG